CACGUAGGCGGGAAUUUAAGUCAGAUGUGAAAGACCGGGGCUCAACCCCGGGGUUGCAUUUGAAACUGAAUUUCUUGAGGGCAGGAGAGGGAAGCAGAAUUCCUGGUGUAGCGGUGAAAUGCGUAGAAAUCAGGAGGAAUACCAGUGGCGAAGGCGGCUUUCUGGACUGACCCUGACGCUGAGGUGCGAAAGCGUGGGUAGCAAACA
rnacentral:rRNA from 1 species